UGGGGAAUUUUGGACAAUGGGCGAAAGCCUGAUCCAGCCAUGCCGCGUGAGUGAAGAAGGCCUUCGGGUUGUAAAGCUCUUUCAGCCGGAAAGAAAUCGCACAGGCUAAUACUUUGUGUGGAUGACGGUACCGGAAGAAGAAGCACCGGCUAACUACGUGCCAGCAGCCGCGGUAAUACGUAGGGUGCGAGCGUUAAUCGGAAUUACUGGGCGUAAAGCGUGCGCAGGCGGUUAUAUAAGACAGAUGUGAAAUCCCCGGACUCAACCUGGGACCUGCAUUUGUGACUGUAUAGCUAGAGUACGGUAGAGGGGGAUGGAAUUCCGCGUGUAGCAGUGAAAUGCGUAGAUAUGCAGAGGAACACCGAUGGCGAAGGCAGCCUCCUGGGCCAGUACUGACGCUCAUGCACGAAAGCGUGGGGAGCAAACA
rnacentral:rRNA from 1 species